rnacentral:rRNA from 1 species
UGGUGGAGCGAUUUGUCUGGUCAAUUCCGAUAACGAACGAGACUCUAGCCUACUAAAUAGUUCGGGACCCCACAAGGGCCCCGCUUCAACUUCUUAGAGGGACAGGUGGCGUUUAGCCACACGAGAUUGAGCAAUAACA